GAGAGAGAGAGAGAGAGAGACGAGGGUACUGCUUCCACGCCUGCACCUCUUCUGUUGCUUCAACUCCAUCAACCCAUCCAGGGGAAAGGAGAGGACAAAAGGAAACCAGAGAAGAAGAGAGGAGGGGAAGAGAAGAUGAGGAAAAUAUAGGAGAGAGAAGAAGAAGGAGAUGGAGAAGUGCCCUGUGAGAUUGUAGGAAUGCAUUAAUCCCACUACAAAUAACUAUUACCUUCCUGUAGUUGGACACAUACAAACAAAACAAAUCCCCAAAAUAUAAAGCCAAAGUACUAUUCUCAAAAACCAACUCAAAGGGGAGAGAGAGAGAGAGAGAGAGAGAGGAAGAAGAAGGUGGUGGGAGUUGGAGUUGGGGGCUAGAGGGGCUUUUGUAUGUGGUGGAGAGGUAUUAGAUGAGGGGGAUGCCCUUUAGUCUCCAAGAGGAGGGGGCCUUGGAAGUCUUAGUAGGAGGGGAAGAGAAAAGAGCCUCUUUUGGGGCAGCGGCGGCGGUUGUGGGAACAAUAAGAGGCGGAAGGGACUGCCGGAGCGGUUGGAGCCUCGGUCGGUUCUGGAUAAUAGAAGGAG
rnacentral:lncRNA from 1 species